rnacentral:rRNA from 1 species
UACGUAGGGUGCAAGCGUUGUCCGGAAUUAUUGGGCGUAAAGGGCUCGUAGGCGGUCCAUCGCGUCGGGAGUGAAAAGCUGGGGCUUAACCCCAGUCCUGCUUCCGAUACGGGUGGACUAGAGGUAGGUAGGGGAGAAUGGAAUUCCCGGUGUAGCGGUGAAAUGCGCAGAUAUCGGGAGGAACACCGGUGGCGAAGGCGGUUCUCUGGGCCUGUUCUGACGCUGAGGAGCGAAAGCGUGGGGAGCGAACAGG